GCGUAACAGCUCACUAGUCUAGUUUUUUGGCGCCACAAGUAUAACGGGGCUAAGCUUAAUACCGAAUUUUUGGAUGGUGACAUAGAAUGUCAAGCAUGGUAGACAAAUGUUGUAUAGGGGUUGAAGCUUGAGCGUGAGCAUGAGUGGACUAUAUACAAGUAAGAAUUCCGGCGUGAGUAACGAAUGAAAGUGAGAAUCUUUCUAGCCGAUUGAUCAAGGUUUCUGGGGCUAGGCUCGUCCUCCUCAGGUAAGUCGAUCCUAAGUUGAGGCCGAAAGGCGUAGAUGAUGGGCAACGGGUUAAUAUUCCCGUACUACCUUGAACGUUCGAUGGGUUGACAGAAAAGGUUAAACUGGGAGGGUUAUUGGAUUCCCUUUUAAGAUUUUGAGUACGUUGAGUAUGAAAAUCAACUCAACAUAAGUGCAAGGAUUGAAUACGAUCUCGGCCAGCAAUGGUUGGGAAAGCCAGACUUAAUCAUAUUCUCCAGAAAAGACUCUAAGAGACAAAGACGUUCAAGGUACUCGUACCGAUAACGAACACACGUGAUCAAGGAGAAUAUCCUAAGGCUAGCGAGCGAACUACAGUUAAGGAACUCUGCAAAAUGACUCUGUAACUUCGGGAGAAAGAGUGCCCGCAUAGAAUGCGGGUCACAGUAAAGAAUGAGGGCGGACUGUUUAACAAAAACACAGCUAUAUGCAAAAUUCAAACAUGAAGUAUAUGUGGCGAC
rnacentral:rRNA from 1 species